UACGUAGGGUGCGAGCGUUGCUCGGAAUUACUGGGCGUAAAGCGUGCGCAGGCGGGCUUUUAAGCCAGACGUGAAAUCCCCGGGCUUAACCUGGGAAUGGCGUUUGGGACUGGAAGUCUGGAGUGCGGCAGAGGAGACUGGAAUUCCUGGUGUAGCAGUGAAAUGCGUAGAUAUCAGGAGGAACACCGAUGGCGAAGGCAGGUCUCUGGGCUGACACUGACGCUCAUGCACGAAAGCGUGGGGAGCAAACAGG
rnacentral:rRNA from 1 species